ACGAACGCUGGCGGCGCGCCUAACACAUGCAAGUCGAACGGAGCAUUUAAGCUUGCUUAGAUGCUUAGUGGCGAACGGGUGAGUAACGCGUGAGCAAUCUGCCUCAGAGUGGGGGACAACAGUUGGAAACGACUGCUAAUACCGCAUAAGCCCACAGAACCGCAUGGUUCAGCGGGAAAAGAUUUAUCGCUUUGAGAUGAGCUCGCGUCUGAUUAGCUAGUUGGUGAGGUAACGGCCCACCAAGGCGACGAUCAGUAGCCGGACUGAGAGGUUGAACGGCCACAUUGGGACUGAGACACGGCCCAGACUCCUACGGGAGGCAGCAGUGGGGAAUAUUGCACAAUGGGGGAAACCCUGAUGCAGCGACGCCGCGUGGAGGAAGAAGGUCUUCGGAUUGUAAACUCCUGUUGUUAGGGACGAUAAUGACGGUACCUAACAAGGAAGUGACGGCUAACUACGUGCCAGCAGCCGCAGUAACAC
rnacentral:rRNA from 1 species